rnacentral:lncRNA from 1 species
UAAUCCCUUUAUUAAACCUUCCUCAAAUUCCCCAGCCCGAGUAUACCGUGGCUUUUCUUUCAGGACCCCAAUUCACCACCCAUUACAUGUCUAUGGUUUAUGAGCUGUCUCACAAACCUCAACUGGCCCUCAAUUAGAGCAGAAGGUCAGAGAAUGUAGCAGUGUAGUUAUCCUCUGCUGCAUCCCAAUGUCUGAUUCAGCGCCUGUGCAUAGUAGCUCAAUAUUUGUCGAAUGAGUGAAUGAAGGGAAGGAUCCGUGUCAUCUGGAGAGGGGCUCUGGAGGUUGGAAGGACAGGAUGAGAUUUUAGGAGGCUAAGGGGAAAAAGAGCAGCAGUGAUGAGGAUGUCGCCUCCCCGCCAGCAUAAAGACCUCUGCGUAUGUCCUUAGCACGUCACGAUCUGCGGUGAUCAUAGUUUGUUUUCUUUGUAUGUCUUCCCACUAGAACGGAUUCCCCAGGGGCAGUGUCCAUGUCUUGUUCGUGCUGGUGUCCUUACGCCUGGUGCCGUGCCUGACAUACAUAAAAGGCUCUAGAUCCACACUUGUCAGAUAAAUGAAAGAUACAUGAGUUAUCCAAAAGAAACACUGAGUUGGCAGAGGACCUGGAAAGCCAGGUUGGGCAGUUUGGAAGUUUCAUGCAGAGCGGUAGGGAUGAACUUCCAAGUCUAGUGCAGGAGUCGGGGCGGGGAUGACAACGGUGGAGCUUACAGAAAGAGCUUACAGAAAGCCUGGGGUGGAGGGGGGGGCACGUGGGGAUGAGCAAGGAGGCUGCUGCAGCCUCCAGCAGGCAGGGAAGGAAGAGGUGGCAGAAACCGGUGAGCGAUCAAAUGCAGAUGAAGGAUGAGGAGUCCAGACCAUCUGGAGGAUGAGAUGAUGCUGCAAAGCCAGUGGUCCUGGCCCAAGGUAUAACCGGAUAGCUCAGUGGAGAGCCACAGGCAGAUGUUGAGGACUUGCGGCGUGGUGACAGCCGGGGGUGGAAGAGCAGAUGAGCCACGUUCUGUCUCCCAGGGACAGUGUGGGUGUGUGUGCGGGUGGACCCACGUGGCACACAGUAGUGGCAACGCCUUUGAGGAACAGAAUCCUGUGGCCGUGAAGCAAGAGCAUGAAAGGUUAACAAGCGUGGACUUGAACGGGAUGUCUGCGGGCAGGACCCCAGCUCUGCUCCUUAUCAGCCAGGCAGACUGAGGUAUUUCGGAGCUCUGGGGCCUCCAGGGUCUCCACUCCAAGUGGGGACAGUAAGGACAUCUACAUUUGAGGUGAUUGUGAGGAUUAAAUGAGUCCAUAUGUGGAAAACACAAUAGUGACUGACCAGCAUUAAGUUCUCUCUUAGUAUUAGCUUGUAUGUCAUUUUUAAAGCAACAGAGAGGAAAACAGUUUGGCAAAUGAGUAACAUUGUCAGUUACAAACCACAGGUACAGAUGUUCUCCUUAAAUCUUCUUGAUGAGGCAUCAUCAUUAUCCAUUUUAUGGAAACUGAUUUGGACAUUUAGGGAGUUGCCCUCCAUCUCACAGCUGAUUCCCAG